GACGAACGCUGGCGGCGUGCUUAACACAUGCAAGUCGAACGGAAAGGCCCUGCUUUUGUGGGGUGCUCGAGUGGCGAACGGGUGAGUAACACGUGAGUAACCUGCCCUUGACUUUGGUAUAACUUCAGGAAACUGGGGCUACUACCGGAUAGGAUCUCCUGUUGCAUUGUGGGGGUUGGAAAGUUUAGGCGGUUGGGGAUGGACUCGCGGCUUAUCAGCUUGUUGGUGGGGUAGUGGCUUACCAAGGCUUUGACGGGUAGCCGGCCUGAGAGGGUGACCGGCGACAUUGGGACUGAGAGACGGACCAGACUCCUACGGGAGGCAGCAGGGGGGAAUAUUGCACAAUGGGCGGAAGCCUGAUGAAGAAACGCCGCGGGCGGGAUGACGGCCUUCGGGUUGUAAACCGCUUUCGCCUGAGACGAAGCGUGAGUGACGGUAAUGGGUAAAGAAGCACCGGCUAACUACGUG
rnacentral:rRNA from 1 species